AAAUGGCGCGCUCUGGUGACGUCACCGCGCUGGGCCGAGCCGCGAGAACGGUCCUUCCUUCUCUCCUGCUCCUGGGCGAUGAGCUUCCCAGGUUUACCAUAAUAGCAGAAAUUGUGAAAUUGGCCUUGGACUUCAGCCUCUGCCUGGUGCUGGAAGCCACUGCCCUAGAAAUUUCUGCAAUGAUUCUGCAUGACCUCUUUUUGGUAUUCAUUUGCUGAAGUGCUAAUACAGAGGUCACAGAAGAACUUCUGUGAGUUGGUUCUCUCAUCCCACCAUGUGGGUGUCCAGGAAUGGAAGGAAGAGUCUUCGGGAACAGCCUUGGAAAAGGAGGAAAAAUAAACCACUUCCUCACUGCAUGUAACCUUUGUCUACAGCCGUCUCCAUCUUCAUCUUCCUGAGAGCCUGGCUUAGGGUCCUUAUUAAAUUACGACUACAGCUUGUCUCAACAAAAAGAUAUCAAAAUCAAGCUAAACAUGUGAAGUAGAUGCCUGUGCUCCUGGGACUUGACUGGAGGCCAUCUGGUGAGGUUCAGUUCACCCUGGCGGGUGUGUGGCUGCCCUUCCUGAUGAAGCUUUGGAGUGGAGCAGUGAGGCCUGAGGCUGAGCACUUCCUUUCUGUGGCUGGGAUAACAGCCCCCCCCCCCCGAUGAAAAGCAGCACAAGGGAGAGGGAGUUCGCUUCAGUGCACAGUUCCAGACUGCAGUGUACUGUCUAGGGAAAGUCAGUGCAUGAACUUGAAGCAACUCGUCACAUCACAUCCUCAUCCAAGAGCAGAGAAGUGGGUGCGUGCAUGCUUAGUGCUCAGCUAGCUUUCUCUACUCUACAUAGUCUAGGACUCCAAACCAGGCAAUGAGGUCCCUACUUUCAGGGACCCUGGGUGUCCUGGUUGUUUGUUUUUGUUUGUUUGUUUGUUUUGUCAAUUUGACACAAGCUAGAAGAACCUCUAGCUUGAUAUUUUCUCAGUUGAGAAAAUGCCUCAAUCAGAUUGCCUAUAGACAAGUCUAUGGGGCAUUUCCUGAUUAAUGGAUCGGUGUUGAAGGGCCCAGCUCACCAUGAGUGGUGCCACCACCAGGGAAGUGUCCAGGGUCUUAUAGAAAGCAGCCUGGGCAAGCAUGGGGAGCAAGCCAGAAAUCAGCACUUGUCUAUGGCUUCUGCUUCAGCUCCUGUCUCCAAGUCAUAGUGAUUUAAACACAGCAAUAGGAACCCUAAGAUACUGGGUCUUCCCACAGCAACGAAAAUAAUCAGGACCAUCUCCCAGACUGCCCAUGGGCCAACAAUCCCUCAGUGAGACUCUCUUCCCAGGUGAUUCCAUGUGUGAUUAGUUACUUUUCUUAUGGCCGUGAUAAAAUCCCUGAAAGAAGCCACUUAAGAGAGGAAGGUUUUAUUGUGGCUCUGUAGGGAGGCAGUCCGCCAUGGUGGGGAAGGCGUGGCGGCAAAGAACUAACCACUCCACCACCCCAUCUCCUGAUGAUGUAUCAUAGAAAUGAGUCCAGCGUGGGUACUCAGCAGGGUGUAAAAGCUUUUAUGAACAUAAGACUAGUGCAGACUGACCAUUGGGCCGCCCACACUGCACAUCUUCAGGCAGAGUCCACUAGGCUGAGUCAAACAGCAAGACCUGCAACCGGUUCUUUAGAAUCUGGUUUCAAAAUAAGGGUGGGGCUUCUGAUGAGAGGAGGCGGGGGAGUUCCAGCCGUUAGGAAAGUGUGAAGGUUCAGAAGUGAGAACCAAGGAAUCUGCUUUGGAAAAUGUCACUGGGCAGCAGCCCGAAUCCUUUCUGCUCCCGCAGCACGACACCAUCUCCCUUAGCCAGCCCACACUGUCCUUUCCCGCCCGUGUGCCAUCUUCCCUGAAACCAUGAUGCUAGCAGCCACUGAGAGUUAUUAGCCUGUCAAGUCGCUUACAGCCUAAUGUCGCUGGUGUCCUGGCGCUGAUGUCAGCAGUGUGAGUGUCCCCAGAGCAGAGUGAAUCCCUGAAAGUAGUGUGUCCUCUAAGAGCUAUAAAUCCAGGACUGUCCCUGCAUGCUGCAGCAGCUUCAGACUCCUGAUUUAUUAGGCGGUUAUUCCCUGGUGGCUGCUGCUGGCUGUGAUCCGGGUCUCCACUGGACUCCGUGUGGGCUGGGGGAUGGUUGCAGGAAAGACAGGAAAUCCACACUCCACGUCUGAUGUUUAGUCCAGUGAACGACUGCCCGCCUCCCUGGCCAUUGUGUCGGAUCAGCGGUGGCUUGCCAUGCACUCGUUUCCAGCUACAGUCUGAUCUGUGUGUGCUUGUCUUCCCUCUCCUAUUUUACAGGCAUUUUGAAGGCAGACUCUGAUUUUCAUUUCCAGGCUCUGCCUCCCUUGCUCCACACCAGGCUCCUCAAACCUCACUGGGCUUAUGGGAAGCUGGAUACGAUGCAGUGACUGGACUGAUUAAGUGGCUGCUGAAUGGAGAGGCGGAGGGGUAACUUGAUUCUAGAAGGGCAUCCUGGGAAAGCCCGAGUCGCCUUUCUGAAAGCCAGCAACCGAUCUGGGGCACCCAUUACCUCUCUGGCCUGGUCCUUCCCCUGCCAGCGCUAGACUGGGCCAUGCUCCCGGCCAUGCUCCCGCAGCCUCUAGGGAGCAUGGUUGGCCUUCAGUUCUGUGAGUUUCAGUUGGCUCUGUGAACAGAGCCUGUUCCAAGACCAGUGUGAGUGAUUUGGCCACCUCCCUGUUUUAUAAGUCCCGUUCCUGAGCUGGGUCCUACAAACAUCUCCUUGCCUUUCUAUCUUCAGAGGCAAAACAUCUGGGCCAUCCUCAAGUCCUUCAUGCGUCAGGUCCUGCACUGAGCAGGGGACUUGACCAACAGAGGCUGUCUGUACCGCAGCUCCUCCCUGUCACAGGCUCCAUCUCUGGCCUCCACGGGGCUCGGUGGAUCCACGUCCCCUGCCCUCUGCGCUGGCUCUCUGUCCCUGCAGUCUGAGCAGACUCAGCCCUCAGACAGGUAGAGAAGGCAGCAUGACCUAAGAGGGAGUAGGGAGGGGGCGCCCUGCAACUCUGGGGACACCCAGCAGUAUGUCAGGCAGGGAGUGUGUGUCAAACCACCACUGCCCCACCCCACCCCACCCCCAUCCCUGUCCCCACACCUACCUGCCUCUGGCAGGCUCCACAGCUCCAUAGCUCCACUUGCAUCUCAAAUCUGGGGCCUAUCAGCAGCACUGGGAAGUCCAGACAGGCCCAACCUCUCCGCACUUCAGUUUCGUCUGGACCUGACAGUUAUGAAAAUCGAAGCAGGUAGUGGUUGAGAGCACCUAGCCCAGAGUAGUGCUUGUAAGUGUUUAAACCCUAGACUGGAGCAGGGAACAGGACCGUGUCCCCAACUGUGCUGCACAUUUGGCUAGGAACAGUUCACUAAUUUGAGCUCGUUGCUACAUCAGUUCUUAGCAGCCUGGUGCUCAACAUUGAGCUUAGGGACAGGCUCUGGCUGGGCAGAGAUCUGCUUCUACAGGUCGCAGUCUUCUUUCCCACUUUUCAAGGAAG